rnacentral:rRNA from 1 species
CAUGAAGCUGGAAUCGCUAGUAAUCGCGAAUCAGAAUGUCGCGGUGAAUACGUUCCCGGGUCUUGUACACACCGCCCGUCACACCAUGGGAGUCGGAAAUGCCCGAAGUCAGUGACCCAACCGUAAGGAGGGAGCUGCCGAAGGUGGAGCCGGUAACUGGGGUGAAGUCGUAACAAGGUAUC